rnacentral:lncRNA from 1 species
CAGGCUACUCCUGAGUCAAUGGUCUUCGUCCUAGUCAAUUCAGGGCUUUACUGAUUAAUUCUGGGCUCCUCCUUUUCCUCAGAUGGUAUCUCAGUUUGGACAUGAAGAGAAGACCGCUGCUGUGUCCACGCAUGGAGAAGAAUUCCUGGCCCUCCCUGGUCGUCUGUCCACUAGGGCAUCUGCCUCUGCGUUCUUGUGCCCUGGUUUCUGACUGCAGAACCACUAAAAUCCUGGCUUCUUUCCUCAACAUCCUGGAGAGGCAACAUCUAAUGCAGGUUUUCUGGUUGGUCUUACCAGCAAUCACCAAGAGAUCAUUGAGUGGCUUUGGCUCUAGGAUCAUGGAGUUCUCCACUGGAUUUUCAGCAUUUGACCAACAGAAAGAGAAAGGAACACUCAUGAGAAGUUUUCCUAAACCAAGACUUCUUCCCACAUUUCAUUGUCCGUAUCUCAGCCACAUGGCCACAUCUAAGUACAAGGGAGGCUGGGAAAUGUAGAUUAGCUGUGUUUCUGAUGGGAAAAGAAACAGACCUUCAUAAUUUUUUUUUUUUUUUUUUUUUGACAGGAUCUCGCUCUGUCACCCAGGCUGAAGUGCAGUUGCAUGAUCUUGGCUUACUGCAAUCUCCACCUCAUGGGCUCAAGUGAUUCUUGUGUCUCAGCCAGCCACCGAAGUAGCUGGACUCACAGGCACACCUGGCUAAUUUUUGAAUUUUUUAGUAGAGGUGGGGUUUUAUCAUGUUGUCCUGUCUGGUCUUGAACUCCUGACCUCAAGUGAUCCACCCGCCUUGGCACCCCAAAGUGCUGGGAUUAUAGGAGUGAGCCACCAUGCUGGGCCCAGAUUAGCUGUUAUGUUAGAAACAAUUCAUUAUAAAUAACCAGACAGAAAUCUGCUGUGCUGUGAAUCACCAUUAAAUACCAAUUAAAAUGAGCGAAUAAACUUCUAUAAGUUAAAGUAUUUCACUGAGUUUUUCAUUCCAGUCGCUGAUCUAAAUUGGUGAUCAUUUCCAGGUUUCUCCAUAGCUGGAUGCUGUCAAUGUCUUGUCCAAUUUUAGCUGCAACCUGGGAUGAUGACCAUUUUUACUUUUUUUUAUCCUCGUUACAGAAAAAUUCUAACAUCUAAAAUGAUCAAAUGUAUUUAAUUGUUUGCUAACACCAAAAUGUAAAUUUAUGGAAGAAAUCAAGAAAUGAUAAGUGUAAAUUUUACUACACUCUCUGCUGAAUGAGGCUGGUGGUGUGAGCAAAUGCAUUUAAGAAUGUCACCAAACUUUAGCUGUGAGUGGUGGCCCUGUAGUCCCAUCUACUAGGAAACCUGAGGCAGGAGAAUGGCUUGAACCCUGGAGGUUGAGGCUUCAGUGAGCUGUGUUGGAGCCACUGCAUGGUAACAGAGAGAGAGAGAGAGAGAGGCCCUGUCUCUGAAAACAAAACAAAACAAAACAAACAAACAAACAAACACAAACAAAAAAACAAAGUAAGAAUUUCACCAAACUUUAUAGUGAUAGUAACAUUUAUUGAGAGCAAUUGAUGUGCCAAGCAUUGUUCUAAGCAUGUAUAAACUCUUUUAGCGCACAUUAUGUAAAUAAACUCACGACAAUCCUGUGAGGUGGAUAUUAUUGUUAUUACAAUUUUAUAGAUGAGAAAAGUAUGUAUUUCAACUUUCAGUGAACAGCAGAUUCUCAGUCAACACUGGAUUCUCUGGCAACACCAAAUCUGGAAUAUCCUUUCAUUCUGUAAGCUGCUGCAGAUCCUCCUAAACCCUCGGUUAUUUAUAUUCUGAAACGCCCGUUCAUUUCGUUGCCCACUGCUUCUGAUUCCCAACGCACCCCUCACCCAAGCCCCCAAUCUCUUUCCACGAACUGGUAGAAUGACUACCUUAGCUUGUUAACAGUCGAAUAACAGCA